rnacentral:rRNA from 1 species
UACGGGGGGGGCAAGCGUUGUUCGGAAUUACUGGGCGUAAAGGGCGCGUAGGCGGCCUUCUAAGUCGAACGUGAAAUCCCCGGGCUCAACCCGGGAACUGCGUCCGAUACUGGAAGGCUUGAAUCCGGGAGAGGGAUGCGGAAUUCCAGGUGUAGCGGUGAAAUGCGUAGAUAUCUGGAGGAACACCGGUGGCGAAGGCGGCAUUCUGGACCGAAACUGACGCUGAGGCGCGAAAGCCAGGGGAGCAAAGCGGG